UUUAUUGGAGAGUUUGAUCCUGGCUCAGGACGAACGCUGGCGGCGUGCCUAAUACAUGCAAGUCGAGCGGAAUCGAUGGAGUGCUUGCACUCCUGAGAUUUAGCGGCGGACGGGUGAGUAACACGUAGGCAACCUGCCCUCAAGACUGGGAUAACUACCGGAAACGGUAGCUAAUACCAGAUAGGAUAUUUGGCUGCAUGGCUGAAUAUGGAAAGGCGGAGCAAUCUGUCACUUGAGGAUGGGCCUGCGGCGCAUUAGCUAGUUGGUGGGGUAAUGGCCUACCAAGGCGACGAUGCGUAGCCGACCUGAGAGGGUGAACGGCCACACUGGGA
rnacentral:rRNA from 1 species